UUUGCCUCUUUUAUUUACAAGUUUCACUUAAAUAUCUCUCAUGGUGAGAAAAUCAAUGUCAAAAUGAACAUUGGUAUACAGUUUACAAAUAUCAGUAAAUAUUAAAGAACAUGGUUAAUUUUUCCAAGUAAAUGCUUGAUACGAAAUAUUUCCCAGGAGGUUAGCUAAAUGUCAGGUGCCGGAGGUGUCAGGGAAAGAGCCUCGAGCCUGCUCAGGAGACUGUCACACUGCAGGCCUCUGUGUUUUGCACUCGGUGACACACGUGGCAGCUCACAGGACAAAGCAGUGCCACCAGCCUUUAUUCCUAGUCCCAAAGCCACACCAGGCCUUCCUGUGCGAUGAGAGCCACGUUCAGAGACAAAUGAACCACUUAAAAUGAAACUAGGAUAGCUCAGUUCCAGAAUAUCCUGGUUUAACCUG
rnacentral:lncRNA from 1 species